rnacentral:rRNA from 1 species
UACGUAGGGUGCGAGCGUUGUCCGGAUUUAUUGGGCGUAAAGAGCUCGUAGGUGGCUUGUCACGUCGGGUGUGAAAGCUUGGGGCUUAACUCCAGGUCUGCAUUCGAUACGGGCUGGCUAGAGGUAGGUAGGGGAGAACGGAAUUCCUGGUGUAGCGGUGGAAUGCGUAGAGAUCCGGAAGAACACCGGUGGCGAAGGCGGCCCGCUGGGCAGGAAGGCUCGCAAGAGCCGGCUGACGCUGAGGCGCGACAGCGUGGGGAGCAAACAGG